UUGGGGGAAUGUUAUUCUUUCCAGGAAAAGUUUUUUUGGGGAAAUGUUGUUAUUUUUAGGAUUUUAAAAUAUUCUGAGUCUUCUCUUUCUUUAAUCAUCAAAGUCAACCUAUUCAUUUCUGCAGAAUCUAAACUUUUUAAAAUCCUUCCAAAGGUAUUUUCUCUGCUUUCCAAUGUUGUGCAUAAACAAUCCUUGCAGCUAUUAUUACAUGUAUAAUCAAAUAAACAUUUUCUUUGCUCAUUUUUUCUGGCAGGAUACCCAAUAGGAACAGAUUGGUUUUAAAUCAAUAUGUUGUUGUAUCAUUUCUUCCAGCCAUUUCUUUAUUUUAUUCCAAUAAUUUUUAGCUUCUGGACAUGUCCGCCCUAUAUGGUAAUAAGAACCUGGUGACUGAUGACAUUUCCAACAUUUAGCUGAUUUAUCUUUAAACAUUCUGCCAAUUUCUCAGGGGUGUGUGCCAUCUAUAAAACAUUUCAUAUUGAUUUUCCUUAUAUGCAGUGAACAUUGUUAAUUUAUAAUUUCUUUCCCAUAACUGUUGCCAUUUAUUGCUAUCAAAAGUAUUUGUUUAAAGUUCAUUUUUAUUUCUACCAUCAGAAUCCUGCCCUCUUCAUCCUCAAAAGUAAUUUAGGUUCUAAUCUUUCUUUGAUAUACAACACCACUCCUCUUUUGCUUUGUUGUAUCAAUGAUGCAAGAAGAACUCCUAACUUUGGAUAUUGUAAUAAUUUUAAAUCUUGUUUUCUAAUAUGUACUUCUUGUAGGCAUAUAAUGUCCAUCUUCAAGCUAUUUAAUUUAGAUAAAGUUCUGUUUCUUUUUAUCUCCGCAUUCAGUCCAUUUACAUUUAAAGAUAUUGCUUUAACUUCUUCUUCCAUGUUUUACUUGUUACUAGUUUUUGACUUCAUCGCCCUUGUCUCUCUUUUUUCCAUUGGAUCUUUAGAUCUCGCUCCUUCUCUUAGGGCUCUUUCUUCCUUUGCUUUUUCAUCUUUGUCUUUCUCUUCAUCUUUUUGCUUUAUCUCUCCUAUAACUCUCAAAUCUUCUUCUAAUGGUCCGCAAAAUUGUUGAUAAAAUAGUUUUGCUUUUUCAGUACAGUCAAGUCUGUGUCUUUGUUCUUGCCAUGUCACCAAAUUUCCUUCCGGUAUUAACCAUCAAAACUCAUUCCUUUGAGUAUUAGGAACUCGCUAGAAACUGAUAGUCUCUCCUCAGUUCUCUAACUCUUCUAGGUAUUUGUCUUAAUACCACAAUAUCUUUAUCUUUGUGUUUCAGUGCUGUAUUUCUUGCUGUUUGUAAUACCUUUGUUUUCACUGCCUUCUUCGUAAAUCUUACAUGCCUCGGUAGUUUGUUCCACAUUGCAUAUCUAGUGUAUACUCUGAAGGCUUCAUCAAUCUCGUUUAAGAUCUUUUCCUUGGAUUGUUCUAUAACUUCUGAUAAUAUCUCAGCAAUCCCCUCAGGUAAAUUUUCCCUUUUUUCCUCCUCUAUAUUUUGAAAUCUUAAGUAAAACUCAGAACGCUCCAUCUCCAAACAUAAUAAUUUUCUUUUCAGUUGGUACCAAUUUUUCUUCUAAUUUCUCAACUUUCUUUUCUCUCAUUUCAGCUUUUCCAACUUUCUGGAUUCUCUCUUCAUUUUUCCCAAUCAUGACUUUCAUUUCUUUUAUUUCCUGUUUUAAGUCUUCUUGAAGAGAUUGUAUAAAAUGUCUUAAUCCCAUCAUCUCCAAAGUUUUCUGUGUUGACGGGGGGCUUGCUGUAUGGUGUAAGUGUGGUGUAAAUUUCUUCAUAUUUAUAAUCCAAGUGCCUAAUCUUUCCCAAUAGUUGGAAUAGCCAAAGAAAAAAGAAAAAAAGAAAGAAAACCAAAAUCUUAAUCUUUUUAGGAAAUGUUUCUUUGGGGGAAUGUUAUUCUUUCCAGGAAAUAUUUUUUUCUGGAAAUGGUAUUCUUUUUAGGAAAUUUUAUUUUUGGGAAAUUUUAUUCUUUUCAGAAAUGUUUUCUGGGGGGACUGUUAUUCUUUUUAGGAAAUAUCUUUUUGCAGAAAUGUUAUCCUUUUUAGGAAAUUUUUUUGUGGAAAUGUUAUUCUUUUUAGGAAAUGUUAUUUUCGGGAAAUGUUAUUCUUUUCAGAAAUGUUUUUGGGGGGAGUGUUAUUCUUUUUAGGAAAUGUUUUUUGGGGGAAUGUUAUUCUUUUCAAAAAUGUUUUUUUUUGUGGGGUUAUUCUUUUAGGAAAUGUUUUUUUGGAGGAAUGUUAUUCUUUUCAGGAAAUGUUUUUUUUUUUUACUUUUUAAACAAACAAACAUAUCAGUCAUUCCUUCUAUGUGACAUCUUGGUUUUGUCUCCAAUCGGUCUUCUUUUUGUUAUUUCUUCUGUCUUCAUUCUCAUUGAAUCAAUUACAAUGUGAAAAUGUUUUAUUUUUAUGAAAUAUUAUUUCCUAAUAAUAUUAUAAUAUUUUAGGAAAUAUUAUUUCCUAAUAAUAUUAAAUAUUAUUUUUGAGAGAACGUUAUUCUUUCCAGAAAUGUUAUUUUCGGGGAAUCUUAUUCGUUUGAGAAAUGUUUUUUUUAGAGAAAUAUUAGUUUUAGGAAAUGUUUUUUGGGGGAAUGUUAUUCUUUUUUUGGAAAUAUUUUUUUAAGUUUUUCAUUUUAUAAACAAACAAUCAUUUAAUACAAGAGUCAUUCCUUCCAUGUGACAUCUUGGUUUUUUCUCCAAUCGGUCUUCUUUUUGUUAUUCCUUCUGUCUUCAUUCUCAUCGAAUCAAUUACAACAAUUCAUCACUAACAAAGUAUUCUGAUUAUAGGAUUUUUAUAUAUAACUAUUAAUUUACUUAUCUGUAUCUCUUUUCUAACCAAGAAUAGAAUUGAUUCCAUGUCUUAAAAUAUUCUGAAUCUUCUUUUUCUUUAAUCAUCAAAGUCAAUCUAUUCAUUUCUGUAGAAUCUAAACUUUUUAAAAUCUUCCCAAAGGUAUUUUCUCUGCUUUCCAAUGUUGUGCAGCUAUUAUUAUAUGUAUAAUCAAAUAAAUAUUUUCUUUGCUAAUUUUUUUUGGCAGGAUACUCAAUAGGAACAGGUCUGGUUUUAAAUCAAUAUGUUAUUGUAUCAUUUCUUCCAGCCAUUUCUUUAUUUUAUUCCAAUAAUUUUUAGUUUCUCGACAUAUCCACCCUUAUAUGGUAAUAAGUACCUGGUUCCUGGUGACAUUUCCAUUAUUAACUGAUUUAUCUUUCUCUUCUAGAUUUAUCUUUUAAUGUUAUUCUUUUUAGGAAAUUUUUUUGGGGGAAUGUUAUUCUUUUUAGGAAAUGUUUUUUGGGGGAAAUAAUUUUUUCAGAUUUGCCCAAGCUUUGUGAGAUUUUGUGUGUAAGUAUGAUUACUGAUUUUUGAAGUUGUAUAAUUUUUGUGAGGUGGUUGCUUCUUUCAGCAAGCUGCAAGAAGGUUUUAUGUGAAGGCAUUUUAUGUGACUCAAUAGCAGCUUUCAUAUAUUCAGCUUUGUGCAGCUUUGUGAGCUCCUGCAACCUGAUGGGUUCUGAUGUGUUUCUGAUUGCCCUAGGUGUUUUUUUCCUGUUUACCUGGGUUAAUCUUGUCCUAAGUCUUUUGUCUUUCCUAUCCUGGGCAUUAAUUCUGCCAUGAAAGAGGAAAUGGGGAAUUAGGCAACUUCUUUAUUCUGAACAUAUGGGGUUCAUUUUUGAAAACCCCCUCUUCACCUCUGCUGAACUCACAGCAAUUGUUCUGACAAUAUAUGUAGCUUUUUUAAAUUUUAAAAUAUCAGUAUUUUUUUAAUACUGUCAUGAAUUGCAUAGUUCUUUGAAUCUUUUAAUACAUUUUCUACAAAAUCUCUGUAAUCGUUCAUAUUAAUUUCAUAAUUAAAAAUUUCAUCAAAUUCAAGCAAUUGUUCUUCUGCUUCUGGCCAUGGAACUACUGCUGCUCUACUCCAUGCUCUGGCCAUGGAACUACUAUUACUGUUCUUCUGCUUCUGGCUAUGGAACUACUACAUCUUCAAUAUUCCAGUAAUCUGGCUCCAAAAAAAAAGAAAUAGGUUCACCCAUUUGACUGGGGGCCUGGACGUGUCCUCAGUGAAGCCGCCGCCAAGAUCCAGAGGGAAGCCUUUCUCCUACACGCUCAUCUCGCAGACAGGACCCGGCCGGCAGGAGUGGAGUGCUCUGGCUGCAACCACGGGAAAGGCCCGUCAGAGGUGGAGAUGAAACAACAUACGGGGGGAGAUUCAAAAACUAUCGACAUGGUGCUUAAAAAACAACCUGCACCUGAACAUCAGCAAGACCAAGGAGAUUGUGUUGGACUUCCAGAGGAAGAGAGAGGAACCUGCCCCACUUUACAUCGAGGGCUGUGUAGUGAGUUUCCUCCUUUAAAUUCCUGGGAGUCCAUCUCAGCGAAGACCUCACCUGGAAAAACAACAUGAUCCAGAUGGCCAGAAAGGCCCAACAGAGACUCAGUUUCCUUAGGAUCUUGCGUAAAAACAGGGUGGAACAACAACUGAUGACCUCUUUUUACCAGACCACAAUAGAAAGCGUCCUCACUUAUUGCAUCACGUUAUGGCAUACCGGUUUGACAGCCGCGGAUAGAAAAACAGAGGGUGAUGAGUACAGCACAAAACAUCAUGGGCUGCCCCUGAUAUCACUAGAUGAGAUUGCUAGGGCUCACUGCCUUAGAAGAGUGAGGAAAAUCCUCAGGGAUAACACCCUCGUCACCACUUCUUUAUCCUCCUACCAUCGGGAAGGAGAUGGUAGAAUUAUAGCCAGCUGCACAAUUUUUAUCCAUGGGCUGUCAGACUCCUGAAUGCGAAAUAACAUCAUAACUACAUAGUAUGAUGGACUUGCAGGGCUGGCGCAAUGUGUAACAUGUUCACACUGGUGCAAUAGGACUGAGUGAUAAUAUGAUUUAUUGGGUUAGGGAUUUUUUGUCUUGACUGUGAAUUGUACUGUGUUGGGGGGUGCACUGAAGGAGCUCAACCAAUCUCAUUGUACAUAUGUUGUGCACUGACAAUAAUGAUUUGAAUUUGAAUCAAACAGGGAAUCUUGAGACACUCUCGCCUGUGCAACAGGCUUACUAGUUCCUUGCACACAAGUUGGGACUCAAGACACAAAUGUACCUAUACCAAAUGCUUUUGCCUCCUGAGUUGGUUUAUAAGGCUGAAAAUGUGACUGACAUCAUGUCAAGCCCCAAUAAAUGGGUAUCGGGUUGACCUGAUUGAUAGAUAUUAGAUUUCUAUACUUGAGGUAUUUUUUAAGAAGCAAUAGUGUAAAAUAGCAAUAUACCAAAUAUAGCAAGUAUAGAUGAGAAAGUUUAUAAUUAUUUGCACUGUGGAAGGGGGAGAAUUUACAAAUUUGAGAUAUAUCUCUCAACAUUCAAUCAAGAUGGUCAAUUAUAUUUAAUGUUGAUUCUAUUUAUGUUGUGCACAUUUUUAUUAUUACUUUUUUGUUUUCUCUGUAAUUUUUGUCUUUCUUUUUAUUGUCUUUGUAAUUUUUUAUUUUAUAAGUAAUAUCUUAUCUUUGAGAUAAAUACAAAUAUUUAAUAGAAAAAGAGAAAAAGAAAAAUAAGUGGUAUAGAGAAUUCUUCCAAAUGAAGAAAUUUGAAAAAAAAUUCUGGCUGAAGUUUUGAAUAAUUUGUAUAGCUCUGAGCCAAAGCUUACCUGUAAGAAUUUAAAUAAAAUAAUAUGUCUUUGCA